rnacentral:rRNA from 1 species
UAGGGAAUAUUAGAAAUGGACGCAAGUCUGAUCUAGCAACACCGCGUGUGCGAAGAAGGCCUUCGGGUCGUAAAGCACUUUUUGGAAGGAAUAGGAAGGAAUGUACUUCCAGAAUAAGUCUCGGCUAACUACGUGCCAGCAGCCGCGGUAACACGUAGGAGGCGAACGUUAUCCGGAUUUACUGGGCGUAAAGCGCGUGUAGGUGGUUCUGUAAGUAGGGCGUGAAAGCUCCUGGCUCAACUGGGAGAGGCCGUUCUAAACUACAGAACUAGAGGAUGGUAGAGGGAGGUGGAAUUCCAGGUGUAGCGGUGGAACGCGCAGAUAUCUGGAGGAACACCAGUGGCGAAGGCGGCCUCCUGGACCAUUCCUGACACUCAGACGCGAAAGCUAGGGUAGCAAACG